AACGAACGCUGGCGGCAUGCCUAACACAUGCAAGUCGAACGAAGGCUUCGGCCUUAGUGGCGCACGGGUGCGUAACGCGUGGGAAUUUGCCCUUUGGUUCGGAAUAACAGCUGGAAACGGCUGCUAAUACCGGAUGAUGACGAAAGUCCAAAGAUUUAUCGCCAGAGGAUGAGCCCGCGUUGGAUUAGGUAGUUGGUGGGGUAAAGGCCUACCAAGCCGACGUUCCAUAGCUGGUCUGAGAGGAUGAUCAGCCACACUGGGACUGAGACACGGCCCAGACUCCUACGGGAGGGAGCAGAGGGGAAUAUUGGACAAUGGGCGCAAGCCUGAUCCAGCAACGCCGCGUGAGUGAUGAAGGCCCUAGGGUUGUAAAGCUCUUUUACCCGGGAAGAUAAUGACUGUACCGGGAGAAUAAGCCCCGGCUAACUACGUG
rnacentral:rRNA from 1 species